rnacentral:rRNA from 1 species
AGAGUUUGAUCAUGGCUCAGGACGAACGCUGGCGGCGUGCUUAACACAUGCAAGUGGAGCGACGAACCAGGGCUUGCCCUGGGGCAGAGCCGCGAACGGGUGAGUAACACGUGGGUAACCCACCCCGAUGACCGGGACAACCCGAGGAAACUCGGGCUAAUACCGGAUGUUCUCGCAUCUCGUAAGGGAUUCGAGCAAAGAUAGCUUCGGCCUUCGCAUCGGGACGGGCCCGCGGCCCAUUAGCUUGUUGGUGGGGUAACGGCCUACCAAGGCGACGAUGGGUAGCUGGUCUGAGAGGACGAUCAGCCACACUGGGACUGAGACACGGCCCAGACUCCUACGGGAGGCAGCAGUGGGGAAUCUUGCGCAAUGGGCGAAAGCCUGACGCAGCGACGCCGCGUGCGGGAAGAAGGCCUUCGGGUUGUAAACCGCUUUCAGGAGGGACGAAGCCACUCGGGUGAAUAGCCCAGAGGGUGACGGUACCUCCAGAAGAAGCCCCGGCUAACUACGUGCCAGCCGCCGCGGUAAUAC